rnacentral:rRNA from 1 species
GAUGAACGCUAGCUACAGGCUUAACACAUGCAAGUCGAGGGGCAUCAGGAAGAAAGCUUGCUUUCUUUGCUGGCGACCGGCGCACGGGUGAGUAACACGUAUCCAACCUGCCCUUUACUCGGGGAUAGCCUUUCGAAAGAAAGAUUAAUACCCGAUGGCAUAAUGAUUCCGCAUGGUUUCAUUAUUAAAGGAUUUCGGUCAUCGAUGGGGAUGCGUUCCAUUAGGUUGUUGGCGGGGUAACGGCCCACCAAGCCUUCGAUGGAUAGGGGUUCUGAGAGGAAGGUCCCCCACAUUGGAACUGAGACACGGUCCAA